rnacentral:tRNA from 16 species
UGGUCCAGAGGUCAGCGGUAUAGACUCGUACCCCAGAUGCGGAGGUUCGAUCCCUCCUAUUA